rnacentral:lncRNA from 1 species
CAAGGAGCAUGAAGGGUUUCUCCUGCAGCAGCAAUCCCACCUUCUGACCAGCUCCAGGAGCAGCUGUGUUUAGCAGAAUUCACCUUGCUUCAACAGCUUCCGCAGCUGGGAGAGUCUGAGAUUACCCAGAAAUACAGAAAGGACCAGGGAAGAGGAGAAGGACGUGUAAACCACUCUGCAAGAUCAUCCCAGGAAAGGAACUAAAGGAGCCAGAAAUUAGGAGCUCCAUGUUGUGUUCCCACAGCCUUAGAAGGGGUUAGAAGCACGCAAUGGCCACGGGGAGAGGAAGCUACUUUCCAGGCUAAAUCCUCCCUGAUAUAAAUCUGUUCCACUGGCACUGCAUUUUAUCAGGUCAGUGCAGCAGGCAAAGCACGAGAAGUGACACCAAAGCAGGUAAGAGAUCCCCAUUUGUUGUGUGCCCAAAUAUUCCAAGCAAAAGAGUUUACGUCAGCCAUGUGUUCUUUUUCAGGGAGGAGGAGGACAUCAGGAAGUCUCCUAAUCCUUGCUGGGUUGCCAAAUGAUGGAAACGUGAAAGCUGCCAGGAAGAACAGGGAUCAAAAGUGAUACUCCUCUGGUUUGUCUCUCUGAUGCUGCAACCUGGAGACGAGUCAUUUCUGUGAGGAGGUUGUGCAAACAUCAUGUGUUCCUGUGUGGAAAGCAGAGGACACGGCCAGGAGCAACAGGACACGGUAAGGAACAUCUGGAAUGAACUCCCGACUCCCUUGUUUUAUUUUCUAUUGGGUUCUGCC